AGAUUUCUAAUGAGCCCUGGCCUUGUCUGCAGCUCACUCUGCACCUGGCUUAACCCCUUCCUGCCUGCAGGUCCUCAGAGUCCACCUUCAGUGGAAAAUCACCCUGACUAACUGCUGUAGAUAACCCUGCACGCCAUCCAUCAAUUUGGGCCGAAUCAUGUCGGGCCUUAGUGAGCUGACGUGGAACAUCACUGCCCUUCGCUGGAAAGCUGUUUGCUAAUCCUAAAGGCCAGAAGGAUGCAUAUGCUCCAUUCGGUCAGCAAUGUGAUCAGAAUCCAUGGAAAGAGCACCAAGAAGCAGUGGGAAAGUAUGUUGGGUCAGAACUUGACCUACAUGGGAACAGGAACGGAGCCCGAGGGACAUGGUCGAGGUCAUGGGAAUGGAGGGAAGCAAACAGAAGACCCUGGGUGUACAGCCCUGUUCCGUGCUAACAGACAUGGGAGGUAGAGAUAAGAGGAGGCGAGUGGAGCUAACCAGGAGAGAGAGAACCGCGGAGAACCUGUAAGAUCCUGCUCCUGUGGGAUGUUCACCCCUUCACAGCCUAACAGAGCUCCUCACGCUCAGACACCCCCCCCCCCCCAGCCAGGACACAUAAGAGCCAGAUGGAAAAGCCACUGACUAAAUUAAAACACACUAAUUGGGCAUUGAAUUUCUACUGGAAAUGCCCCCUCCCAGCGUCACUGGUGAGGUACUGUGUGGGUGUCGGAUGUACGACUAAGAGGAAAUUCUUCCUUUCUGAACAAAUAAAUCAUUUGGAAC
ensembl:lincRNA Gm13049 predicted gene 13049